rnacentral:rRNA from 1 species
ACCGAUUUGGUCCUAGUCCUAACUUUAGCUAAUUUUUAGUUGCCACAUGCAAGCCCAAUGACAAACCAGUGAAGUAAAAAUUUUGGUCUCCCCACCUAAAAAGAGACAGGAGCAAAAAUUCUAGUAUC